rnacentral:rRNA from 1 species
UACGUAGGGGGCAAGCGUUGUCCGGAAUUAUUGGGCGUAAAGCGCGCGCAGGCGGUCAUUUAAGUCUGGUGUAUAAACCAAGGGCUCAACCUUUGGACGCAUUGGAAACUGGGUGACUGGAGUGUAGGAGAGGAAAGUGGAAUUCCACGUGUAGCGGUGAAAUGCGUAGAGAUGUGGAGGAACACCAGUGGCGAAGGCAGGUCUCUGGGCCAUUACUGACGCUGAGGAGCGAAAGCGUGGGGAGCGAACAGG